rnacentral:rRNA from 1 species
CCUACGGGUUGCAGCAGUGGGGAAUAUUGCACAAUGGGCGCAAGCCUGAUGCAGCCAUGCCGCGUGUAUGAAGAAGGCCUUCGGGUUGUAAAGUACUUUCAGCGGGGAGGAAGGCGAUAAGGUUAAUAACCUUGUCGAUUGACGUUACCCGCAGAAGAAGCACCGGCUAACUCCGUGCCAGCAGCCGCGAUAAUACGGAGGGGGCAAGCGUUAAUCGAAAUUACUGGGCGUAAAGCGCACGCAGGCGGUCUGUCAAGUCGGAUGUGAAAUCCCCGGGCUCAACCUGGGAACUGCAUUCGAAACUGGCAGGCUGGAGUCUUGUAGAGGGGGGUAGAAUUCCAGGUGUAGCGGUGAAAUGCGUAGAGAUCUGGGGGAAUACCGGUGGCGAAGGCGGCCCCCUGGACAAAGACUGACGCUCAGGUGCGAAAGCGUGGGGAGCAAACAGGAUUAAAUACCCGCGUAGUC